rnacentral:hammerhead_ribozyme from 1 species
AUAAAGCUGACGAGUCCCAAAUAGGACGAAAUGCGCGUCCUGGAU